GGAUAUUCUUUUCAGCCAGCAAGUCUGUGGCACAGAUGCCGCAAAAAAGAAAAUUGAGUACUUGAAUGGGGUAAGUAACUUUAAGACAAAAAAAUAUCUGAUGGCUAUGCAAGCACAACUAGGCAGUAAAGAACCAGUGGUAUCUAUACUAAAGAAGGCUGGUGACACCUUGACUCUUUGAUCUAUGAACUGUGUGACAGGCUUGCAAACGGAUAGUUUAUUAUCUGGGAGGAGAAUAGCAAAGUCCUACAGCGUUUCACAGGGUUAAUGUGUAUAAAACAGCCAUUUAGAUGUGCGCCAGGAAUAGACUGUGGGAGGAGUUUGCUUCAGCAUGCAAGGAAGUUGUACAUGCGUCUGUGUCUAUACGUAUGUCUAUGCAUAUGUGCUUGUGCAGAGAACCAUGCAGUACUCAGCUAGUCAAAACAGCUGCAUCUGAGAAGAUAUGUCCUGAAGCAGACUGUGGAAUUGCCAAAUCCUCUUAAUUCACCUUCUGGUGACAUCGAAGGUGGUCCAAGCCUGACUGGGACGGUAUUCUUAUUUUCGCAGAGGAUCGCUAUCGUUUCACUCCAUUUAAAUUCGAGAAUAAGCAUCUCACGACGCCAUGCUCCACUGCAUCGGAACUGUAUGAGCCAGGAGGUCUUGCAGAGAGGGAGAAGCAGAGAGGGAGACACUUUCCAGACUGAGAAGAAAAAGCGACAUUAUCUGUCUUUGCUGUCUCUGGGUUGAAUUACUUGGCUUUUUUUUUCCCAAGAAAUCUGUCGCUUGAAGGGAUCUGUUGUUUUGUGGAUCACAUGGGGAAUUCCAAACAGAAGCAAUCUUCAUGCUACCUGACACUGUAUGAGCUUAGUCAUCCCCGGCAAAUAACUCGUCUUUGAAAGAAGCUUACAUCUCACCUAAGCUUAUUUAUGCGGGCAAUCUUUCCUCAGGUGCUAACACUUGAUUUCUUUUCCUUCAGUCAUUUUUAAAAGUAUCUUUGGCAUGAUGUGUACUAUUGAUUUGUGGUAUUUUUGUUUGGUUAUUUUUUCUUUGUUUAAAGGGCAUCUUUUGUUAGACACAAGUAAACAUGAAACUGAAAAACAAUAAUUAUUGAUUCAACAAAGUGUAAUUUUUGUAAUAAAAUAGCUAAAUAAUUACCGUAAUCCUGUUGGCAUGUGAUGAGUAUCUGGAGGCUAUCUUUUUGUUAUCAUUACUCCAUACCCAUGGCUGCCUAAAAGAAGAAAAAAUAAAAACCAAAACAAACAAACAAUCAAAAAACCUAGUUAUGAUAAUCUACAGAAAUACAGAAAUAUCAAUGGAAUAAAAGUAGGUCAGAUAAGUGAACAUUAGCAUAAAGCACAAGAGAUUUGGGUAGUUUUUCUGUGUUUUUUCUUGUAGUAAAAAAAAGGAGUUAAUUGAAGUGAACAUAUACAACCGAAUGCACAGAUAUUUUGUAAAGAUACAAUGGGUUUUAAGAGGGAAAAAAAGAUAUACUUUAGCAGCAUGAAAUCAAAACUGAACUACUUAUGUUUUUGAAAAUAAUUCUUACUUAAAAUCAGCAAUGAGAAAAAUUAGAACUAAGGCUUUGCUUGCCUGAUAUGAUAAUUGAAUAAUAAGAUAUAUGUACUGCUGCAAGUCAGUUUCCUCAUUCCACUUUAGAAGUGCAAUCUAGCUCUGACAAAACAGAAUCUUUACGGUCCUAUGGAUUGACAACACAAAGCCAUGGUUGUCCUUUGAAAUCUAUGGAACUGUGAUAAAUCUUCAUAGCCCUGUAUUCUAAUAGAAGAGAAGAUUAAAGAAAGAUUUUCAAGAGUGGUGUAUUACCUCUUCCACACUAUUUUAAGAUGAAAGGACUGCAUUAUGGUGGGCUAGUAGUUAUCAGUUUUUCUUGAGAUUAAUAAUUAAAAAGAAUUCAUAGGAAUAGGAAAGUAGUGCUACUGUAUAAAGAUUUAAACAACAGAAAACUAUUUAAACUACUGGGCUUGAAGACUGAAUUAUAGAUAUGGGUGUAAAAUAUAUAUGUAGAAAAUCUUUCUUGAAGAAAUAUACUUUCUCAAUUGUAUCUUACAUCAGUACUAGAGAGAGCCAUAGAAACACAGCCACCCUAACUGAACUAUAUAUUCUUUCCUUAAUAAAUAAAUGUCAAAUAAGUUAAAAAAACCAGUUCUUUCAAUCAGUAAUGUAGAUCACAGUUUAUCUGACUGGCCUAACAUUCUCUGCAUGUGGAUCUAGGAUUAGUAGUGUCCUGCUUAUGGAUCCAAGUGUUUUCAUUUGGAUUCUCACUUGGGAAAUUUUGGAAUAAAAUGUCCCUGGGAAGAACAGAAGAAACUAAAACAAAACUAGCAGCAGAAUCUUCUUGAUACAAAACAUCUAUUUCAGCAUCUCCAUGCAUCCAUGAUUAAGUAUGCCAGGAAAUAAGCGUUUUCAACUGAUUUCAGAGAGAGAAAUGUGCUGUGGUGGUUUUCAUGAUUCAAACUCAAAAUCAGGAAGGAAGCAAGACAUGUUCAGCUGUUUUCUGACAAGAAUUUCUUCAGAGCAAGAAAUGUGCUGUGGUGGUUUUCAUGAUUCAAACUCAAUAUCGAGAAGGAAGCAAGACAUGUUCAGCUGUUUCCUGACAAGAAUUUCUAAUCAACCCUUUUUUGUCAUCAAAAGAAGUGUCUCC
ensembl:lncRNA